GCGCUCGUAGUUCAACUGGAUAGAAUAUCAGAUUUCGGCUCUGAGGGUUGAGGGUUCGAAUCCUUCCGAGCGCACAA
rnacentral:tRNA from 1 species